rnacentral:rRNA from 1 species
AUUGAACGCUAGCGGGAUGCUUUCCACAUGCAAGUCGAACGGAGUGGCGGACGGGUGAGUAAUAUAUCGGCACGUGCCCAGUAGCGGGGGAUAACUACUCGAAAGCGUGGCUAAUACCGCAUAAUAUUGGCGCGGCCGAUAUCGGAUUAGCUAGUUGGUGGGGUAAAGGCUCACCAGGGCCACGAUCCGUAGCUGGGUUGAGAGGACGACCAGCCACACGAGGACGGAGAAACGGCCCAGACUCCUACGGGAGGCAGCAGUGGGGAAUUUGGGACAAUGGGGGAAAGCCUGAUCCAGCCAUGCCGCGUGUAUGAUGAAGGCCUUCGGGUUGUAAAGUACUUUUGGCAGAGAAGCGGUAUCUGCAGAAUAAGCACCGGCUAACUACGUGCCAGCAGCCGCGGUAAUUC